AUACGUAGUUAAAAUGAGUUACGAUGCAUCUUGAUAUCAUUUUAUAGAAGGAUUUUAAACCACAAGAAGAAUGAAAGUACAGAUAAUGUUAGUAGUGGUUAUCUUUGUUGUAUCAUUGUUUGUGUCUACAACGUUGGGGCAAUAUUGGGGUAGAGGAGGUGGCGGUGGAAUGUAUAGUAGAAUGGGUGGAUAUAGUCGUUCGUUUGGUGGAAGUAGUGGAGGAGGAAAUCGCAAUUUUGCGAGAUGGUAUGGGCGAUAAAAAGCGAAUUAACAUAAACUGUUCUGUCUUAAAUUUGUACUGUACAUAUCUAUCAUUGUAAAUGUUGUAAAAUAUAUAUAACCAUAUUAAAUAUUUGCACUACA